rnacentral:rRNA from 1 species
UACGGGGCGGGCGAGCGUUAUUCAUCAUUAUUGGGCGUAAAGGUCCGCAGUCUGUCUAUGGAUUGUUUAUUCUGAAAGCCCUGGGGCCAACCCAGGUGAGAGAAUAAAAACGCUUAGACUAGAGUCGACGAGAGGAUGGUAGAACUUUUAAAGUAGAAGUGAAAAGUGAUGAUAUUAAAAAGACUCCCAAUGGCGAAGGCAACCAUCCAUUUUCGAACUGACGUUGAGGUACGAAGGCAUGGGUAUCAAAUGGG